GGAUGAAGAACGCAGCGAAAUGCGAUACGUAAUGUGAAUUGCAGAAUUCAGUGAAUCAUCGAAUCUUUGAACGCAUAUUGCGCUCUCUGGUAUUCCGGAGAGCAUGCUUGUUUGAGUAUCAGUAAACACCUCAACUCCCUUUUCUUUUUUGAAAUGGGAGCUGGACUUGAGUGAUCCCAACACUUUUCUCACUGGAAAGUGGCGGGUCACUUGAAAUGCAGGUGCAGCUGGACUUUUCUCUGAGCUAUAAGCAUAUCUAUUUAGUCUGCCUAAAAAACAGAUUAUUACCUUUGCUGCAGCUAACAUAAAGGAGAUGAGUUCUUGUGCUGACUGAUGCAGGAUUCACAGAGACAGCUUUGCGGCUGACUUUGUAAACUCGAUCUCAAAUCAAGUAAGACUACCCGCUGAACUUAAGCAUAUCAAUAAGCGGAGGA
rnacentral:misc_RNA from 1 species